AAAGCAGCAACCGUGGCGGCGAUGAUGGAGGCGGCGACGAGGACGGCAACGUGGAACCCGCGACCGGAGCAAUGGUCAGUGCAGGUCGGCGAAGACGUCACUCGCCACUUGAUGAUAGCUGUGACGGCUCGGAUUGAAAACACGUCACUGGGAAAAGCCACAGAGGCACGAUGGGCACAUCGCUAAAGGCCAAGGCCUAAGGAGACAACAGCGGAGUUAGCCGGGAUCUUGGUCAACACAGCCGAGAAAGAAAUCACAUUGCCCCAUCUCGAAGCUUCCAAGCCAUGCAAAUAACCGUGGACAUGGUUGAUCGCUCACAACAACUGCACAAAGACAAAGAUCCCCCGUAUAGCCUCUAACAGACUUUUUGGGGAAAGUGCUGUUAGCGAGCACCUAUGAAGGUCGGCACGGCGCACGAGGGGGUGGGGUAGUCAGCAGCACGCCCGGCCGCCUUUGUCUCCCAAGUGGCGAUGUUUACACACCGCACAAGUUACUCAUUUGAGGCCGAGUCGACCUAGGGGAAGCUCAAGACCGGCUGUGAGCAGAAAUCGAACUCGGGUCACCGGAUUAGGACCACAGCGCGCUAACCAUUACACUACACACAACCACACGCAAACCCACAUACGUAAAAAAUAUAUAAUAAAAAAUGUAAAUGAAGAGACAACAUCAUGGCGAAAAAAUAAAAUAUCAGCGCAGGCCAGAAAACCACAAGUUGAGAUGAAGACAAGGAACCGCGUGAAACAAGCCCCUCCCAUCUCAUGAGUCACACCGCCCGCAGUUGUCUCCCUCCGUCUCACAUUUGCUCAAAAUGUAUUUGACGGUGACCCAAGAGGUCCAAGAUGCGGUUCGAAAGCAAGUGGACAAACUGCGCCGAGUUUCUAGUCAACGGUAAUCGAACGAGGGAGAAAGAGGCCCCAUUCUUCUUGAACCACAACGCAGCGCGGAUCGCGUCGCAUCUCGGCACGGGGAUGCUCCCCGCCGUCGCUUCGUUCCUCUCCGAUGCACUCCGCCCGCCGCUUCCAGCAUGGACCGCUGCGGCGUCGCCCAGACCUGUCGGCUGUCGUCAGCCGACAGGUCGGGGCAGCUGCUCUCUGACAAAAGUCAACGCCGGGA